rnacentral:rRNA from 1 species
UACAGAGGGGGCAAGCGUUGUUCGGAAUUACUGGGCGUAAAGGGCGCGUAGGCGGCCGCCUAAGUCAGACGUGAAAUCCCUCGGCUCAACCGGGGAACUGCGUCUGAUACUGGGUGGCUGGAGUACUGUAGGGGCAGGCGGAAUUCCGGGUGUAGCGGUGGAAUGCGUAGAGAUCCGGAGGAAGACCGGUGGCGAAGGCGGCCUGCUGGGCAGUUACUGACACUGAUGCGCGACAGCGUGGGGAGCAAACAGG